ensembl:lncRNA
AGAUAACCGAAAGUAGAAAUAAUUCUCAAAAUCUGUUGAAAACAGCAAGAGAGCACCUACUUUUACCUCAGAGUCUUAUUUCCAUCCAAAAUAUGGCACAAUAAAGUAACAACAACAAGGGCACAGCCAUCAGAGAGAGAGCGAGAGAGAGAUGCUUGGAGGAACAUUGCUACAUCUUCCCUUCUCCGCCUACCCAGAAAGCCCCAGUGCCAUCUGUACCCCUGUGGGGUGCGGGAGAAUCCGUGCCAGUGCCAGCGGCGACAAAACCCUCAUCAGCGUCCUGGAGCCCCGGCACCAACACAGACGGCACAGGGAGGAAGGGAGGCCAUCUUGACGGAGAUCUUACACAAGAAGCUAAGAUGGCUGGGCUGGCACAUGAGAUUGUUUGUAGCUGAAGAUGGAAAACGAAGGGUGGGAGUAUGAAAAGAAGAAAAUAUCCUCUUGACAUAGAUGAAGUGAAUGGGAGUGAGGGAUGGUGGCGUUUAAAGAGACAGGCGGCAUCCCAGCAUUCUCGUGGAUGUGGACUGAACUCGGUGGAUUCACACUUUGUUGAAAAUGAGACGAAAAUUGACUAAAUAUUCAUCCAGAGAGAACAAUGGGAGCCUCAAGCACCUGAAAGUUUAAGAGGCACAUAAAAUCAUGUGUGUGUAUAUGAGAGCUAAAGUAUUUUGUGUUUAAUAUAAAAGAUUUGUACUGUACAGUAUUAUACAGUAUUUUCAUUAAGAUUAUAUUUGCAUUUUUUACAGUUGCCUAAAGAUAUUUUUCUUUCUUUCAUAGCUAUUAAAAUGAGAAAUAUUAUGUGCAUCUUAUAUACAUAUAGUUUUGUAUUUUUACAUGUAUGUAUUUCCUGUUUUUAUGUUUGUUUUUUUCUGAUUUUUUUAUUUUGAUUUAAUUUUAUUUAUAAAUAAAAAAUUAUACUGUAUAUUGUAUUAUACGGAUGAAUAAAACUGUGAUUCAAAAGUGAAUGAUAU